rnacentral:rRNA from 1 species
UGGGGAAUCUUGCGCAAUGCACGAAAGUGUGACGCAGCAACGCCGCGUGGGGGAAGAAGGCUCUCGGGUCGUAAACCCCUUUCAGUUGGGACGAAGCUUCGCGGGUUAACAGCCGGCUGAAGUGACGGUACCUUCACAAGAAGCACCGGCUAACUACGUGCCAGCAGCCGCGGUAAUACGUAGGGUGCAAGCGUUGUCCGGAAUCAUUGGGCGUAAAGAGCGUGUAGGCGGCCCGAUUAGUCCGCUGUGAAAGUCCAGGGCUCAACCCUGGAAUGCCGGUGGAUACUGUCGGGCUCGAGUCCGGAAGAGGCGAGUGGAAUUCCUGGUGUAGCGGUGAAAUGCGCAGAUAUCAGGAAGAACACCAACGGCGAAGGCAGCUCGCUGGGACGGUACUGACGCUGAGACGCGAAAGCGUGGGGAGCAAACAGG